rnacentral:piRNA from 1 species
UGAUUUGUGUGAACUGAACUGUGGAU